rnacentral:rRNA from 1 species
CGGCGGACGGGUGAGUAAUGCCUAGGAAUCUGCCUAGUGGUGGGGGACAACGUUCGGAAACGGACGCUAAUACCGCAUACGUCCUACGGGAGAAAGCGGGGGACCUUCGGGCCUCGCGCCAUUAGAUGAGCCUAGGUCGGAUUAGCUAGUUGGUGAGGUAACGGCUCACCAAGGCGACGAUCCGUAACUGGUCUGAGAGGAUGAUCAGUCACACUGGAACUGAGACACGGUCCAGACACCUACGGGAGGCAGCAGUGGGGAAUAUUGGACAAUGGGCGAAAGCCUGAUCCAGCCAUGCCGCGUGUGUGAAGAAGGUCUUCGGAUUGUAAAGCACUUUAAGUUGGGAGGAAGGGUAGUAACUUAAUACGUUGCUAUUUUGACGUUACCGACAGAAUAAGCACCGGCUAACUCUGUGCCAGCAGCCGCGGUAAUACAGAGGGUGCAAGCGUUAAUCGGAAUUACUGGGCGUAAAGCGCGCGUAGGUGGUUUGUUAAGUUGGAUGUGAAAGCCCCGGGCUCAACCUGGGAACUGCAUCCAAAACUGGCAAGCUAGAGUACGGUAGAGGGUGGUGGAAUUUCCUGUGUAGCGGUGAAAUGCGUAGAUAUAGGAAGGAACACCAGUGGCGAAGGCGACCACCUGGACUGAUACUGACACUGAGGUGCGAAAGCGUGGGGAGCAAACAGGAUUAGAUACCCUGGUAGUCCACGCCGUAAACGAUGUCAACUAGCCGUUGGGAGUCUUGAACUCUUAGUGGGCGCAGCUAAACGCAUUAAGUUGACCGCCUGGGGAAGUACGGCCGCAAGGUUAAAACUCAAAUGAAUUUGACGGGGGCCCGCACAA